CGGAGGUACUCGAGUGGCGAACGGGUGAGUAACACGUGGGUGAUCUGUCCUGCACUCUGGGAUAAGCCUGGGAAACUGGGUCUAAUACCGGAUAGGACCGCACUUUAGUGUGUGUGGUGGAAAGUUUUUUCGGUGUAGGAUGAGCCCGCGGCCUAUCAGCCUGUUGGUGGGGUAAUGGCCUACCAAGGCGGCGACGGGUAGCCGGACUGAGAGGUUGGUCGGCCACAUUGGGACUGAGAUACGGCCCAG
rnacentral:rRNA from 1 species